ACCCCAGGUCAGGCGGGAUUACCCGC
rnacentral:rRNA from 2 species